UAAAUUUUCUUUGUUUCUUUUGUUCGUAAUUUUCUUGUCUAUUUUAGCGGCAGGAUGUCCUGAAAUGAGGUGAGAAUUGUAACCGAUGAAUUUAAUAUGGCUUGUCUUGGAAAGAAGAUUGGCAUCGACAGAGCAUUCAAACGCAUUGAAGCUGAUGUGAUGAGACACUUGGGGGAUUUAAACUUUCAAAAUUAUUAUUAUUUUCAACCAUAUAUGGUCCAAAAAUAUGUAAUACUUUAAAGGGAAAAAAAAGAAAAAAAG
rnacentral:misc_RNA from 1 species